rnacentral:rRNA from 1 species
UACAGAGACUGCAAGCGUUAUUCGGAUUCACUGGGCGUAAAGGGUGCGUAGGCGGCAGUGUAAGUUGGACGUGAAAUCCUGGGGCUCAACCUCAGAAUUGCGUUCAAUACUGCAUUGCUAGGGCGCUGUAGAGGAGAUUGGAAUUUACGGUGUAGCAGUGAAAUGCGUAGAUAUCGUAAGGAAGACCAGUGGCGAAAGCGAAUCUCUGGGCAGCAGCCGACGCUGAGGCACGAAGGCCAGGGGAGCAAACGGG